rnacentral:snoRNA from 1 species
ACCCUCCAGAUUCCUUGUCUAUCGAUCUAAGCACUGGUCAGAGCGGUGAUAACAGGAAGAAAAGGGAAAUGGGAAGGAACAUAAUUUUGUGUGUGUGAUGCACGAUCUAGUUUAUUAAAAAAAGG